rnacentral:rRNA from 1 species
AUUAUGGAGAGUUUGAUCCUGGCUCAGAGUGAACGCUGGCGGCGUGCUUAACACAUGCAAGUCGAACGGUAGCAGGAUAGUGCUUGCACUA